CGGAGAAGAGCGAGUUCCACCAUGUCCGCCCGGGCCACUUUAAAUACGGACCGAGACGGAAGCUGGGCAGGACCACUCCCUGCGGUGCCUGCGGUGGUGGCUUGGACCCGCGACGCUCACAGGCCACCGUACUUUUCUCUAGUUAAAUUGUGGAAACGUCCCGGGAAUGCCGAGUUGGAGAAUUAUGAGGAGAGUUGAGUUCCAGGGGAUCCGUUGCUGUCUUCUGACCUCAGUAGACACCAGGCAUGCAUGUGGUUCACAGACAUCACAUACAAAACACCAAACACAUAAAAAAUAAAUGAAGACAUGGAAAGAAUUUAAUGCCGAGUCUUAUUCCCGCCUUCUUCCCAAGGCCUGUGGGUCGUUGCAGGAGGGAGCGGAACAACUAGAGGCAGAGGUGGUGGCUGGCUGUAGGGAAACUGUUUUCCAGACACAGUGGGGCAGUUGUUCACACAGACUCAGCAUGCACAAGACCUGCUCAAAAUCAGGCCAGACAAAAUUCUAGCAUGGGCCGGGCAUUGGUGGCGCAGCCUUUAAUCCCAGCACUCGGGAGGCAGAGGCAGGAUGAUCUCUGUGAGUUCAAGACCAGCCUGGUCUACAGAGCAAGUUCCAGGAUAGGCUCCAAAGCCACAGAGAGAACCUGUCUCGGAAACAAAACAAGAAUUGUAGCAUGGACGGGAGAAGAUGACAUGACCGUCUCACCCCCGAGGAGCCGUUGGCAGCUGAUGGCUGUUGCAAGAUCGAAAAGUGGGUUUUCUUCAGGGAUGCAUCCCUCAUACUCCACAUGGCCCUACCCUUGUAAGUGGACCUGGAGGGUUUAAAAGAAAAAGGCACAUGAAAUCUGAAGGGAAUAGUGGAGGAAUUGGAGAAGGUGAAGGGGAUGGGUUUGAUUAAUACAUUAUAUGCACAUAUGACAUUCUCAAUUUUUUAAAAAAAGUUCUUGAACUUGAACUUGUUACUGGGCUUGGUUGUGACAGCACAGGAAUAGACACGAAUGAAACCAGUUCAUCUAGCCUUUCCUUGAAACGAAGUAUUUUGGAUACUCGUCAAAACCUGAAGACCCAAGCAGUGUCUGUUGCCCUGGGAUUGCCAGGCUGAUCUGGAGCAGAAGGAAGGCACUGAGUGGAACAGGAAUGAAUCAGUGUCCCCCUGUGGACCACAUCGGUAGUGGAGUCACCUUUCAGAUCCGACAGCAGCACAGAACCACACUGACAACUCUAUGACUUGAAUUGGGGCCAGGGAUGCAGACAAGUUUGUAGACCGCUUGCCUGUCACGCACAGAGUUCUGGUUUUGAUCCCCAAUGCCACAUGAGCUGGGUAUGGAAGUAUAUGCCUGCAGUCCAAGCAUUCCCGAGAUGGAAACAGGAGGAUCCAGUGUUCAAAGUUACAUAGGGAGUUCAAGGCCAGCCAGGGAUAUAUGAGAUCCUAUCUAAAAAAUAAAAAUUAUUCUAGAGUUAUCAAAAUGUAGCAAAAAGAAAAGUUGUACUCAGAAUCUGAAUUUUGAGCCAUAGCGGAGAACUUAGAAUUACCAGCAAAGUAGCUUUCAAGUUUGUGAGCAGGAGAGGUGCCAGGCCAAGCAAGGUGUGACAGGAAAUCUGUGCAUGAUGGAAAGGACCAGUCGACUUUGCCCCAAGUGUAUGAAGCCUUCCUUGGUUGUAGAGAGCAGGGCCAGGAGGGGGACACAGCAUUUACAGUUUACUAACCAGUUCAGAUCAUCUUCUCAGAUAGUGUGGCUCCAUCUCUAGAUUCCAGGGGAUUCUAACUGCACUGGCAGUCAUGAUCUGUUCACUCACUCAAUUAGCCCUACUCUCAAGAAACAAAAUGUUACUGAUACAGUUGAAGCACUUGGCUUCCCCAGGAACAAGCCCAUUCUGCAGCUUCAAUUAUUGCCCUAGUGCUAUCCCCUCUGGAGUAUAUCAUCAAUGCAAACAUUUUAAACAAUGUAUUGUGAGCUUACACAUUUUAAAGCUAUAAAAAUGAUACCACACCCUGUAUCUUUCCACCACUUACUUUGCAUUCUCCACGCCACUCUAGAUUUUAAGAUUUAACCACACUAGAGCCAGGGAUGUAGGCCAGUAGUAGCAUACUUGGCUAGAAUGCUCAAGGUGGUCCCGGGCUCAACCCCCAGCCCUUCAAAAGACAACAUAAAAUAAGGGGCUGGAGAGAUGGCUCGGCAGUUAAGAAUGUUCUUUGUUCUCACAGAGGACCUGAGUCCAGUGCUCAGCAUCCAUAUCAGGCAGCUCAUAACUGUAAUUCCAGCUCCAGGAGAUCCAUGCAUAUGGCUUCCAAGGGCACUCACAGCAUAUAGUUUGUCACUAACCACACAGAUAUACAGACAUAUAACUAAAGAUAAUAACGUUUAAGCUGGGUGGUGGCGGCACAUGCCUUUAAUCCCAGCCCUGUCUCAAAAAGCCAAAAAUAAAGUUUUUUUCCUAUGGCUUAUUUUCAGCAUAUAACAUUCCAAACACAAAUUAUUCAUCUUUUAUUUUGUUCUUAUGCAUUUGUGCUUCCUAGCUUUUGUUUUUGCUGUUGUCAUCAAUGCUUUUAGAAAUAUUGUUCA